GGGCGGAUACCCAAGUGGUCAACGGGAGCAGACUGUAAAUCUGUUGGCUAAGCCUGCGGAGGUUCAAAUCCUUCUCCGCCCA
rnacentral:tRNA from 1 species